rnacentral:rRNA from 1 species
GUGAGGAAUAUUGGUCAAUGGGCGCGAGCCUGAACCAGCCAAGUCGCGUGAAGGAUGACUGUCUUAUGGAUUGUAAACUUCUUUUAUACGGGAAUAACAAGAGUCACGUGUGACUCCCUGCAUGUACCGUAUGAAUAAGCAUCGGCUAACUCCGUGCCAGCAGCCGCGGUAAUACGGAGGAUGCGAGCGUUAUCCGGAUUUAUUGGGUUUAAAGGGUGCGUAGGCGGUUUGUUAAGUCAGCGGUGAAAUCUAGAGGCUCAACCUCGAAACUGCCGUUGAAACUGGCGAACUUGAGUGUAGAUGAGGUAGGCGGAAUUCGUGGUGUAGCGGUGAAAUGCAUAGAUAUCACGAGGAACUCCGAUUGCGAAGGCAGCUUACUAAGGUAC